rnacentral:lncRNA from 1 species
UUUAUUUUAUAUAAUUUCAUUUUCUUUUUGCCGUCUCUGUCUCUCUCUUUCUCUCACUGUCCCAGCAAAUUCCUUGCUUCCAUCGGAUUCGCGCGCCAUCUCCUCCCUCGCGCGUGCUGAUCGCUAGGUAGCAGCCGAGCUCGAUCCCCGCCGUCUCGCCUCGGUAGCAGCCGAGCUCGAUCCCCGCCGUCUCGCCUCCCCGCGAUCGCCGCCGGCCGGCCCUAUCGGCGAUUCCCUCAUCCCUUCC